AUUAAACGCUGGCGGCAUGCCUUACACAUGCAAGUCGAACGGCAGCACGGGGGCAACCCUGGUGGCGAGUGGCGGACGGGUGAGUAAAGCAUCGGAACGUAUCCUGGAGUGGGGGGAUAACGUAGCGAAAGUUACGCUAAUACCGCAUAUUUUGUGAGCAGGAAAGCAGGGGAUCGCAAGACCUUGCGCUCUGGGAGCGGCCGAUGUCGGAUUAGCUAGUUGGUGGGGUAAAGGCCUACCAAGGCGACGAUCCGUAGCGGGUCUGAGAGGAUGAUCCGCCACACUGGGACUGAGACACGGCCCAGACUCCUACGGGAGGCAGCAGUGGGGAAUUUUGGACAAUGGGCGAAGCCUGAUCCAGCCAUGCCGCGUGAGUGAAGAAGGCC
rnacentral:rRNA from 1 species